rnacentral:misc_RNA from 1 species
UUUCGAAAUUUUACACCGUUUAUAUGAGUAUGCGUAUAAAAUAUAAAUUAUUAUAUAUAUACAGCUAAAUGCCCACUGUGUGUGGGGUUAGGAAGUGGUUCAAGCAGUCAAAUAGGCAGUGGAGGAUCACCUGUAACAUGUAGGUAUAGCAGAUAAGAUAGGGAAUCCAACUCACAAGAAAACUACCCUACCACCAUUUCUACUACCAUCAAAACACAAAGGAAAACAAAUCAUCAAAAUAAUCUUCAAGGAAAAAAUAAUAAAGAUUUAAUCAUCAACUACCACAAAAUAUGUUUUUAAAACUGGAAAAUUCUGGUUGAGGAUGAUUGAAAUAAAGAGAUCAACUGUGAUUAAGCUGACCCACCAUGACUUUUCUGAUAGCCAUCUUUAGCUCUUCCAUUUACACUUUGGUUCUUCUAGAAGUUCUUGCUCCAAUCAGUAACCAAAACAUCCUUUUCAGCUUACAAUUUGAUUGAUUUUAUAUAAAUAGAGAUCUUGACUGAUAGAGACUGUGACUCUGAUUAAGAUAGCAAUAGCAUUCCUUUAUUUCUUAUGAGCUUUCUGUUUUCUUCUAAUGGUUAGAAUGCGCUUUCAAGAAUUGAAAGCUUUUUUCUAUUUUCACUUACCCCAUUUAUUGAGAUCUCCAAUACUCGGCCAUCUCAAACCCAUUCUUGCAAUUGUGGUAGUCCUCAAUAGUUUGUUCAAUUUCAGCUUGUGUGUUCAUUACAAAAGGUCCAUGCUGUACCACUGGUUCAUUGAUCGGUUGGCCUGCAACUAGUAUGAAUCUUAAUGGCUUGGAAGAUCUAUUCCACACGCUUAAACCAUCUCCAGAACCCAAAACCAUAACAUGGUGAGCAGUUGCUUGCAACGAGUUUCGCGAGCCAAAGGCACCUUCACCUUCAAUAAUAUAAACAAAUGAAUUCCAUGAUUCUGGAAUGCUUUGAUGGACUUGAGCUCUUGGUUUCAGAGUGAAAUCCAGAUACAUUGAUGAUGUUCUUGUGUAUACUGGAGACCUAACUCCCAUUGAUUCUCCUGCUAUAACUCGCACUUCAGCCCCAUCUUUUUCAGCCCUUUGGAUGUCAUCACUUAAAAGUUCUUGAUACCUUGGUUCAAUCCUGCAAUAUUGGUUUUCAGAUUAGUUUUAAUUCUUCAAAUAGCAAAUCAAAGAUAAAUUCACCAUUCUUUCCAUUUCAAGUAAUUUGAUCAAUUUUGAAUGAAAAAUGUGGGGAUUUGCCAUAAAUUGCUUGCUGCUGGGGAAGAGCUGGCUUAUCUUCAAUGGAAGGAAUUACGUAGGCAUUUGAGAUCAUAACUAACCUCAGAAUAUAAUGGGAAAUCAGCAUAUCAGCAAUUUUUACAGAAAUUCAUAAUUCUUUGAAAAUCAUGAUAAAUUCAAGAGUGAUUGGUAAAAUUCCUUUUCUAUUAUCCACAGCAAGUAGUUCAUAUUUGAAAAUCUGGUAACCAAUGAGUCUAAAGACCCUUUGUUUUUUUUUUAGUCAUUGUGGUCCACAGAGUUCUGUUUCUGAUUAGCUUACAUUUUGUCUUCAGAUGAAAGAUUUAUCCAAAGCUGCAACCCUUUUUGUGUUCCUUCUCCUGCAGGCAUUUCUGAGUGGAUUAUCCCUCUUCCUGCUGUCAUCCACUGCACAUCUCCAGCAUGGAUUGUACCCUUAUGCCCUGCAAAAUCUUGAUGAGUGAUGCCUCCCUGAUAUACACAACAGUAAUAUAAUAUUUAGUUUCUUACAAUUCAAUAUUCAACCUAUCAGAUUUCCUACUGAAUUUUAAACCAAAAAUCAACUGUACCUGAAGCAUAUAUGUAACAGUCUCAAAACCUGUGAUACAGAUGUUUAUUAGAAUAUAAAAUCCCAAAAUUACUAUCUAUGAUAAUGCAAAAACAUUAACUAAAGAAAGGAUGGGAAUGUUUCAAGAACCUCUAUGCGGGUGAUCAGGAAAUCCAGCAGGAGGAGUCACUGAAAAAUCAUCCAACAUUAGAAAAGGAUCCAAGAACUUCAGCUCACUCCUUCCAAUGCCUCUUCUAACAACAGCACCAUCGCCUUCAUACUGGGGGGUGGCUAGGACCUUCUUGGUGACCAAUCUUGGUCUAUUGAAACCAUGGGAUUGAUUAGAUGCAGACAUGAUAUUUCUGAUGGAGGAAACAGCUUUGAUAUUGUUUCUGCUCUUGGCAGUUGUUGGGUACAAGCUAAACAAUAACUUGUUAUAUAAAGCUUUCAUAUAAAAUAAGGAAAGCCCGGUUUGUUUGUUGUGUGUGUCCUCUCUGCUUUCCUGUAAAAGAAAUUGGAAACUGAAUUGUUUGGGUUUAGAAAUUGGACCAACUCAUAUGGGAUAUAUAUAGAAGAUAGAUUCAGAGAAAG